CCUACGGGUGGCAGCAGUGAGGAAUAUUGGUCAAUGGACGAGAGUCUGAACCAGCCAAGUAGCGUGAAGGAUGACUGCCCUAUGGGUUGUAAACUUCUUUUAUAAAGGAAUAAAACGAGGCACGUGUGCCUUUUUGCAUGUACUUUAUGAAUACGGAUCGGCUAACUCCGUGCCAGCAGCCGCGGUAAUACGGAGGAUCCGAGCGUUAUCCGGAUUUAUUGGGUUUAACGGGAGCGUAGAUGGGUUGUUAAGUCAGUUGUGAAAGUGUGCGGCUUAAACGUAAAAUUGCAAUUGAUACUGGCAGUCUUGAGUACAGUUGAGGUAGGCGGAAUUCGUGGUGUAGCGGUGAAAUGCUUAGAUAUAACGAAGAACCCCGAUUGCGAAGGCAGCUUACUAAACUGUGACUGACAUUGAUGCUCGAAAGUGUGGGUAGCAAACAGGAUUAGAUACCCCUGUAGUC
rnacentral:rRNA from 1 species